UCAUGCAAACGAAUCAGUCAAGAAACAUAUUGAUAUAUCAUAUGCUAGAUUCCCUGCUGCUCCUUGCUGCUACCUAUCAAUGUGAUUACCUUGCUGCAGACCACCGUGCACCUCACGCCAUCGGUUGUGGAUCGAGCAUACCACAACCACCAUCCUGUUCCUGCUUGCUAGAGUGAUGGAUCCCGUUAGACCCGUGCGCAGUGGUGGAGGCCGGAUCACGUCGGGAGCGAGGAUACAAGAUCAACGGCGGACGAAUCUGGAGCGGAUGUCGUG
rnacentral:lncRNA from 1 species